rnacentral:rRNA from 1 species
GUUUGAUCCUGGCUCAGUGUUAACGCUGGCGGUGUGUCUAAUACAUGCAAGUCGAACGCAACUUCGGUUGAGUGGCGGACGAGCGAGUAACACGUUGGAACCUACCUCAAACUCAGGGAUAACAUCUAGAAAUAGGUGCUAAUACCGGAUAGUCCCGUAAGGGUAAAGAUUUAUCGGUUUGAGAGGGGCCUGCGUAAUAUCAGCUAGUUGGUAAGGUAAUGGCUUACCAAGGCUAUGACGUUUAACUGGUCUGAGAGGAUGAUCAGUCGCGAUGGGACUGAGACACGGCCCAUACUCCUACGGGAGGCAGCAGUAAGGAAUCUUCCGCAAUGGACGAAAGUCUGACGGAGCAACACCGCGUGGUUGAUGAAGCCCUUUGGGGUGUAAAGACCUUUUCUGAGUGAAGAAUUUUGACGGUAACUUAGGAAUAAGCACCGGCUAACUCCGUGCCAGCAGCCGCGGUAAUACGGAGGGUGCAAGCGUUACCCGGAAUCAUUGGGCGUAAAGCGUCCGCAGGCGGUAUGUUAAGUAAGAUGUUAAAUUUUGCAGCUCAACUGUAAAGCUAUGUCUUAAACUGGCAAACUAGAGUAUUGGAGGGUGCGUAGAAUUCUGUGUGUAGGGGUAAAAUCCGUAGAUACACAGAGGAAUACCGAAAGCGAAGGCAGCGCACUGGCCAAUUACUGACGCUCAGGGACGAAAGCGUGGGGAGCGAACGGGAUUAGAUACCCCGGUAGUCCACGCCGUAAACGAUGGAUACUAGAUGUUGGAGGACUCGACCCCUUCAGUGUCAAAGCUAACGCAUUAAGUAUCCCGCCUGGGGAGUACGGUCGCAAGAUUAAAACUCAAAGGAAUUGACGGG